CAGGGAGACAACAAAAUGUUUAUAUUAUUAUUUUGUCACCUUAGGUCGAUCGGUAUCUCACGUUUUUAAUUUAUUAAGAAUUUCAUUUCCUAAGUUUUUCUAGGUCACACCCAUUAUUUUUCCUGGGCCAUUAGCUCAGGUGGUUAGAGCGCACCCCUGAUAAGGGUGAGGUCCCUGGUCCAAGUCCAGGAUGGCCCAUAUCUCUAUGUUGGGGGUAUAGCUCAGUUGGUAGAGCGCCUGCUUUGCAAGCAGGAUGUCAGCGGUUCGAGACCGCUUACCUCCACUGAUUACCACCUCUUCCAUAAUCGGUAGAAAGGAAAUGUUUUGAGUAGUGAUCAAAUUCUGAAAGAAUCUAGCUUCCUAAUGGAAUCAUUAAGAUGCUGGACUCAUUGAAUUAAUUUCAUUGUUUUCAGAGAACUUUGACAACUGCAUAGAUUAUUUUUAAAGACAAUAAGCAUCUUUAAUGAUGCAGAUUUAUUAUUUGUGCGAAUGCAUUAAUAACAAUUCUAUUAAGCUGAUGCUUCAAUUUUGAAGUUAUU
rnacentral:tRNA from 1 species